rnacentral:rRNA from 1 species
GACGAACGCUGGCGGCGUGCCUAAUACAUGCAAGUCGAGCGCAGGAAACUGACGGAACUCUUCGGAGGGAAGGCAGUGGAAUGAGCGGCGGACGGGUGAGUAACACGUAAGGAACCUGCCUCAAGGAUUGGGAUAACUCCGAGAAAUCGGAGCUAAUACCGGAUAGUUCAACGGACCGCAUGGUCCGCUGAGGAAAGGCGCUCCGGCGUCACCUUGAGAUGGCCUUGCGGUGCAUUAGCUAGUUGGUGGGGUAACGGCCCACCAAGGCGACGAUGCAUAGCCGACCUGAGAGGGUGAUCGGCCACACUGGGACUGAGACACGGCCCAGACUCCUACGGGAGGCAGCAGUAGGGAAUCUUCCACAAUGGACGAAAGUCUGAUGGAGCAACGCCGCGUGAGUGAUGAAGGUUUUCGGAUCGUAAAACUCUGUCGUAAGGGAAGAACACGUACGAGAGGGAAUGCUCGUACCUUGACGGUACCUUACGAGAAAGCCACGGCUAACUACGUGCCAGCAGCCGCUGUAACAC